GGCGAACGCUGGCGGCGUGCUUAACACAUGCAAGUCGAACGGAAAGGCCUCUUUCGGGGGGUACUCGAGUGGCGAACGGGUGAGUAACACGUGAGUAACCUGCCCUUGACUUUGGGAUAACUUCAGGAAACUGGGGCUAAUACCGGAUAGGAGCUCCUGCUGCAUGGUGGGGGUUGGAAAGUUUCGGCGGUUGGGGAUGGACUCGCGGCUUAUCAGCUUGUUGGUGGGGUAGUGGCUUACCAAGGCUUUGACGGGUAGCCGGCCUGAGAGGGUGACCGGCCACAUUGGGACUGAGAUACGACCCAGACUCCUACGGGAGGCAGCAGUGGGGAAUAUUGCACAAUGGGUGGAAGCCUGAUGCAGCAACGCCGUGUGCGGGAUGACGGCCUUCGGGUUGUAAACCGCUUUCGCUCAUGACGAAGCUUUGUGUGACGGUAGUGGGUAAAGAAGCACCGGCUAACUACGUG
rnacentral:rRNA from 1 species